CCCCAAAUGCCAUUUGAAAAUUUUACUCCAAAUGCUAGAUAAAUUACAUUGACUUUUUCCAAAACUGCAUUCUAUAGUCCCUUAACAAAAUUUCCAUGGAAAAGGUAUGUUCGUGAUAAUGUAUGUUUGGUCAAGGCUGGCUUAAAGUAAGCUAAACAGGAAUUUUCUCUUUCUGUAAUGAUGAACUUGGAAACUGGAACCAAUGUUUCUUGCUAAAAAUAGAAGAUCUGGGAAAAUAUUAACAGUAGUGUUUGAACUAACAAUACAGUGAGGAAUUAUGGAGAAUAAAAUUUAGGAGAGGAAGCAAACCCACAGAAGUAAGCUGGGCAUUUAGAAUUCCUUUUUCACAACAGGUGUCUAUGCAUUUGGAAGAGGCAUUUGAGGCAUUAAGAAGCUGAACAGCAUUGUUAAGUCACAAGGGAGUGAAGGAGCAAACAUCACAGUUGAUGCUUCUGAAAAAAACAGUUUCUCUACAUUCAUACAACACUUCUCAUAUCACGUGUGGAGGUUUUUCCCACACCAGCAGCUCCUCUGAUACCAGCUAGGUGUCUGACAAUUUAAGUCAUUUCUGACACUGUCUACUUAGAGUUAGCAUUACAUCCCAUGAGUUAAGUGCUCAGUCCCAUAAAACUACCUCCCGACUCCAGAUGUCAAUUGCAAGUCCAGACCUCUCCUACUACUAAGCAAUCAGCUACAAGAUGUAUGAGUCCCAUGACUCCUUCUUAAGGUUUAAUAAUUUGCUAGAAUGGCUCAUCGAACUCAGGGACACAGUGUAUUUACAUUUACUGGCGUAUGAUAAAGGAUAUAACUCAGGAACACUCAGAUGGAGGAGAUGCAGAGGACUCUAAAAUUGGAUUGUGACUAGUGUCCUGAACUACUCACUGGACAUGGUAUACAUCUUUGUGGAGGAAAUGAGCACCUAUGGCCACAAAUUAUGUCUACAAAGUUUGGGGGCACGAUUCUUAACUGUUAAUAAUAAUAAUAAAAACCAAGUAGAGAAAAAGCCUGGACAUUAAAAUGAAAACCAAGAGAAACAACCGAUAUAAGAAAUAGACCCAUAAGGGAACCUGGAAAGGAAGUACCAGAUACUGAGCUAUAACUAUAAUUAUUAGUUAAAGAAAUAAAACAUUAAGAUCGAGCAUUUUUGACAAAGAAAUGAAAACCAUAAGAAAGAAUUGAAUGAAACCUUAAAAAUACAAUGAUCAAUAUUAAAAACACAAUGGAUGAAGUCAGAAAUAGAUUAAACACAACUGAAAAGAGAACCAGAACUUUGGAAAAUUGGUCAGAAGAAAAUAUCCACAAUGAAAUGUAGAGUGCCAAGAGGAAUGAAAUGCAAAAGAGAUACUAAGAGAUAUAAAACAAGCACUGAUAAUUAUAUGAAACUGGAGUCCCAGAGAAAGAAAAAGGACAGCAUGGAGUAGAAGCACUAUUUGGAAAGAUCCUCUGAGAAUGUCAUAGGACUAAUAAAAGAUAUCAAGCCAUAAAUCCAUAAGCCCUAAAAAUAAAUAAAAGUAACAGCAGAAUAAAUAAAAAUGAAAUCACAC
rnacentral:lncRNA from 1 species